rnacentral:rRNA from 1 species
GAUGAACGCUAGCGGCAGGCUUAAUACAUGCAAGUCGAGGGGCAGCAUGAUUGUAGCAAUACAAUUGAUGGCGACCGGCAAACGGGUGCGGAACACGUACACAACCUUCCAACAAGUGGGGGAUAGCCCAGAGAAAUUUGGAUUAAUACCCCGUAACAUAGCGAUGUGGCAUCACAUUGCUAUUAUAGAUUUUUCGCUUGUUGAUGGGUGUGCGGCUGAUUAGAUAGUUGGCGGGGUAACGGCCCACCAAGUCUACGAUCAGUAGCUGAUGUGAGAGCAUGAUCAGCCACACCGGAACUGAGACACGGGCCCGACUCCUACGGGAGGCAGCAGUAAGGAAUAUUGGACAAUGGACGCAAGUCUGAUCCAGCCAUGCCGCGUGAAGGAUUAAGGUUCUCUGGAUUGUAAACUUCUUUUAUAAGGGACGAAAAAAGGCUUUUCUAAGUCGUCUGACGGUACCUUAUGAAUAAGCACCGGCUAACUCCGUGCCAGCAGCCGCGGUAACAC